UACAGAGGCCACAAGCGUUAGGCGGAAUUACUGGGCGUAAAGCGCGUGUAGGCUGCUCGGAAAGUCGGAUGUGAAAGCCCUGGGCUCAACCUAGGAAGUGCAUUCGAAACUUCCGAGCUGGAGUUCUGGAGAGGAAGGCGGAAUUCUCGGUGUAGAGGUGAAAUUCGUAGAUAUCGAGAGGAACACCGGUGGCGAAGGCGGCCUUCUGGACAGUGACUGACGCUGAGACGCGAAAGCGUGGGGAGCAAACAGG
rnacentral:rRNA from 1 species